AUUGAACGCUGGCGGCAGGCCUAACACAUGCAAGUCGAGCGAUCGUCGGACGGGUGAGUAAUGUCUGGGAAACUGCCUGAUGGAGGGGGAUAACUCCUGGAAACGGUAUCUAAUACCGCAUACCAUCAGAUGUGCCACGAGGGGCUUAUCUAGUAGGUGAGGUAACUGCUCACCUAGGCGACGAUCCCUAUCUGGUCUGAGAGGAUGACCAGCCACACUGGAACUGAGACACGGUCCAGACUCCUACGGGAGGCAGCAGUGGGGAAUAUUGAACAAUGGGAGCAAGCCUGAUGCAGCCAUGCCGCGUGUGUGAAGAAGGCCUUCGGGUUGUAAAGAACUUUCAGCGGGGAGGCGUUACCCGCAGAAGAAGCACCGGCUAACUCCGUGCCAGCAGCCGCGGUAAUAC
rnacentral:rRNA from 1 species